UGUCAUUCAAGGGAUCUGUUGUUCAGGUUUAGUGAAGAUGUGGUUACAUGUCCUAACUGCUCCUCACACUUUCACUGGUUAUAGCAAGUUCCUGUUAAAGGUUCAAGUACAUUAGGUAUGUGUCAAUAUAAUUAUAUUGUUCUCUGUUCUAGUGUGGGCAGUAAUGUAGUGCUGCCUCCACGUGACACUGCCUGGGAUCACUAGUGGUUACUACUGCUAGUGAUGCUAAGAGCACUACAUACAAGAAGAAUAGAUACUAACAGUAACUAUGUAUGAUGAAUUACAUUCCAUUGUUAGGUUAAUGACAUUAAGAGGAUAAGUACAAUUCUCUGCUAUUGAAGACUACAUUGAGAAGUUAAUUGUUUGCUGUUUGAAGCUGUACAUUAACUGAAGACUAUAAAGAAUUACAUAACAUUGUUUAUAAUUUUAGCAUUUUUGUU